UACGAGGAGGGCUAGCGUUGUCCGGAAUCAUUGGGCGUAAAGAGCGUGUAGGCGGCUAUUUAAGUCCUGCGUGAAAUCCUGCGGCUCAACCGCAGACGGUCGUGGGAAACUGGAUGGCUAGAGUGCGGGAGAGGCGAGUGGAAUUCCUGGUGUAGCGGUGAAAUGCGCAGAUAUCUGGAGGAACACCGGUGGCGAAGGCGGCAUCCUGGACCAAUACUGACGCUGAGUGAGCGAAAAGCAUGGGGAGCGAACAGG
rnacentral:rRNA from 1 species